AUGCUCCUUUCAGCAGCACCUAUACUAACAUUGGAAGGAUACAGGUAAGGUUGGCAUGGCCCACUGGGAAAGGAUGACAGGGAAAUUUGUGAAGCGUUCCACAUUUAC